GGCAAAUGUUUAUUUUACUGCAGUAACAGUUUGCAAAGCCUGAGGAUAAUGUCCUGUUCACACUAAAUGUUUCUGAGCUGAAUUCAAUGGGAUGUUUAAUGAAAGCCAUGGAGCUCGUCUUCCAUUCUUUCUCUGCCCAGGAUGCAGCAGAAGUCUGAUUGAACUGCCUGCUGUGAUGAUUAGCAGGCAGCUCAACCAGAGCCAGAGUUUGGGAUACAAAUUGCUGCACCUGACUUUGAGUGUCUUAAAGCUGCCAGCAUUGAACCUUCUGCUGUGCACGUCCCUCUGUUCCCUGAUAAAAACAUCAGAGGUUCUAGACUCGAGCUCAAACAGUACCAAACCCCCAAUACAAUUCCACCUGUUGACAAUUUAUUCUUUAUAGCUGACCUCUCCAACACAUUUUUAAAUUCCAGCGUCAUGCCUGGACAUUUAUCAGAGUCCUACAAUCUAUGAUGCAGAGCUGAAAGACAGUUUAGAUUCUCUCACCUAUCCGGUGGCCUUGCACUGUUUCAGUAUGUCCUCACAAAAGACACAGCUUCUCUGCUGAAACAUUUAUAUGCUUUUGGCCACAAAGUUACUUUUUCAAAAUUGCAAUUUGUGCAGGAAAAUGUCCCAUUUUUAGAACAGAUCAUCACGUUCUGUACUCCAACAUGUUUUCCUCUUCAUUUUUUAUUUCUCUCUGGGAGAUUGAAGAAUAAAAAUUAUUGAGCAAAACUAGAUCCUGCAAGACAGAACUUGCAGGAUCUAGAAUUUACUGCCUUCAGGCAUCCAAAACAUAAUGUGUACCUCAGCUUAAACUGUAUUUGAUGUAGACGGCUCCUGAGUGUUAUAUGGAUGGACAUUCUGUAUACUUGUGUUGUCCACUUUUUGUUUUUAUUUCAAUACAGGAAAAAAAAAUCCAUUGGACGGUAAACAACUCAGGCUGCUGCGGUUUGUUUGGGAUCACUGCAAAACCUGAGAGCAGCUGAGAGAUCAAGGAGCUGCUCCUGUUUCAAACAAAGUUUGAGACGAGGUGGAUGUUAAUGAAGGCCCAGUGAUUUCUGAAACAAUUGCUCAGCAGCAAGUGAAGCGAGGGAGGAGAGAAAUGAAGGAGGAGAGUAAAGCUGCCUGAGUGACUGAUUCAUUACACCAGGAAUGAACGAACGGCCGACAUUUAAAACGACAUUUAUGGACACGCCCCCUCACCCCGCCGGCCUUUAAAAGGACCAGCGAUAGACCGGGGAAGCCAACCAUCAGAGAGACGCUACCAAUAGUUUCUGCAAGAAGCAACGGAAAACAAUCACAUUUUCUCUGUGACGACAGAAUGGGGAUUACUUUUCUUCUGCUGCUGCUGCUGAUGGUGUCUUUGACUUCUGCCUCGGCACUGAAAGAAGGUCAAAGCAGUGAAAUGGAUGCCGGCCUCCUGAGAGAGGACCAGACUCACAGUGACACCCUGAAUGAAAAGUUACGUUUCCGUCGAGUCCCGUUUCGCAGAAUAUGCACAUCCACGAAUUGUCGCCUUCGCAACCAGGACCGACUCAGCAACGGCAAAUUGGAAAAGGCGGGAACGAAGGCCAAGGACCCAUAUGGAUUCGGCCGUUAGGGGCCGUUAGGGGCCGUUAGGGGCCUUCGGGCCCCGAUGGCCACGUCCGGCGUCCAAACUGGCAUGUUGAGAUCUUUCCAGUUUCAUGCACAGAAUAAAAUAAUGGUAAUUAAGAAGAAAAGAGUAUUAGUAUUGAAACAGGCCCAUAUAAAAAGUGGUUGUAAUCUUUUUAAUGUUAAUUAUUGUGAUUAAAUAAUAAUAUGAUUGUGAAAUGUACACGACGAAUCACAUUGUAACCUUAGUGCUGUAGUAAGCCAAAGGUAAAAUCAGUUAGGGUCAGGACGAAACAAAAAAAAAUAGAGGUGCUUUGAAAUUGUUGUUGAAAAAGUAUAAAAGACUCUGAAAAGGGGAACAAAGCGCUUCGUCCCCGGCUGCAGACGUCCAGACAGAAAAUACGGAUGGAGGACGGAGCCGUGGAAAGACACGGCCUACAGCCCUGGCUCCUGAUUGGACUGCUGUCCUCAACUCUCCCAAAGAGAUCUCCAACAGCUGCAACAGACUGUGGCUACAGACUCCACAGCUGAGGACAAGCUGAACCACACUGAGGACGACAACAUCUCUCACCCAUUCAGAGGAGGACUCUGCAGGGAAGAAGCAAACCUCUGCCGCCGAGAUCAUGAGCCAUCUGAGUCCAACUGCUCAUUCUUUAAUUAACAACACAGAUUAGGGAAAGGUAGUAGAUUUAAUAUAUGUGACUUUGAAAUUAACUUGGAUCUAAAACAAUUGAUUAUUGAGUUUAUGCAGUUGAUUAACCUGGCUAAAUAAAGCAUCAUGAAAAAUUCUAA